rnacentral:rRNA from 1 species
UACGUAGGGUGCAAGCGUUGUCCGGAAUUAUUGGGCGUAAAGAGCUCGUAGGCGGUUUGUUGCGUCGGCUGUGAAAUCCCGAGGCUCAACCUCGGGUCUGCAGUCGAUACGAGCAAACUAGAGUGUUGCAGGGGAGACUGGGAAUUCCUGGUGAUUAGCGGUGGAAAUACGCAGAUAUCAGGAGGAACACCGAUGGCGAAGGCAGGUCACUGGGCCGCAACUGACGCUGAGGAGCGAAAGCAUGGGGAGCGAACAGG